rnacentral:rRNA from 1 species
CAGGCUGCAACUCGCCUGCACGAAGUCGGAAUUGCUAGUAAUCGUAGGUCAGCAUACUACGGUGAAUACGUUCCCGGGCCUUGUACACACCGCCCGUCAAACCAUGAGAGUUGGCAACACCCGAAGUCGGUAGUCUAACCGCAAGGAGGACGCCGCCGAAGGUGGGGGUUGAUGAUUAGGGUUAAGUCGUAACAAGGUACC